UUUCCUGGAGGAUAUGAAUUGUAAAUGCUGAGCAAGACUGAAAGGAGAUGUUUUGUUGUUUUUAAAAAAGGGAAUUUACCGUGUUAAUGGUGCCAAAUCUCGGGUGGAGAAGCUUUGUCAGGCCUUCGAGAACGGCAAAGAGCUGGUUGAGCUUUCGGAUCUCUACCCUCACGAUAUCAGCAACGUCCUCAAACUCUACCUACGACAGCUCCCAGAGCCCCUGAUUCUUUUCCGAUUCUAUAACGACUUCAUUGGAUUGGCCAAAGAGAGUCAGAGUAUCAUUGCUGAUGAGGUAGAGGCGUCAAGAGGAAACCCCACCCCCGACAGCUCGCAGAUCAGCGUAGAGCUCAAGCGCGUCCUCUUCAAGAUCAAAGACCUGCUGCGUCAGCUUUCUUCAGCCCACUACAAAACCCUGCAGUUCCUUAUUCAGCACUUGCACAGGGUGUCAGAAAGGGCAGAUGAAAACAAGAUGACUGCCAGUAAUCUGGGCAUAAUUUUUGGGCCCACACUGAUCAAGCCCCGACAGGCCGAUGCAGAGAUCUCCCUGUCCUCUCUGGUGGACUACCCCUACCAGGCCCUGAUCGUGGAGCUUUUGAUCCGCCAUUAUGAGAUGAU